rnacentral:rRNA from 1 species
UACAGAGGGUGCGAGCGUUAAUCGGAAUUACUGGGCGUAAAGCGCGCGUAGGCGGCUUUGCAAGUCGGGUGUGAAAUCCCCAGGCUUAACCUGGGAACUGCAUUCGAGACUGCAUUGCUAGAGUAUGGGAGAGGGAAGUGGAAUUUCCGGUGUAGCGGUGAAAUGCGUAGAUAUCUGGAGGAACACCGGUGGCGAAGGCGGCAUCCUGGACCGACACUGACGCUGAGGAGCGAAAGCCAGGGGAGCAAACGGG